UUGAUCCCGCCGGAGGUCACUGCUAUUGGAGUUCGGCUAANCCAUGCGAGUCGAGAGGGUUUAGACCCUCGGCGAACGGCUCAAUAACACGUGGAUAAUCUACCCUCAGGACAGGGAUAACCCCGGGAAACUGGGGAUAAUACCUGACAGGUGGGGAUGUCUGGAACGAUUCCCCGCUUAAAGCUCCGGCGCCUGAGGAUGAGUCUGCGGUCGAUUAGGUUGUUGGCGGNGUAACGGACCACCAAGCCAAAGAUCGAUACGGGCACUGAGAGGUGAAGCCCGGAGAUGGGGGCUGAGAUACGGCCCCAGGCCCUACGGGGCGCAGCAGGCGCGAAAACUCCGCAACUCGCGAAAGCGUGACGGGGGAACUCCAAGUGCUGCAGCAUUAGUUGUAGCUUUUGUUUAGUGUAAAUAACUAUUCGAAUAAGAGCUGGGUAAGACCGGUGCCAGCCGCCGCGGUAACACCGGNNGCUCGAGUGGUGACCGUUAUUAUUGGGCCNAAAGCGUCCGUAGCCGGUUUGGNAAGUCCUUGGGUAAAUCCUGACGCUCAGCGUUAGGAAUUCUAGGGAUACUGCCAGACUUGAGGCCGA
rnacentral:rRNA from 1 species